CUUAGAAACAAGCUGUCUGAAAAUGGCACCCAACACCAAGACGUUUGUCGAGUAAAUAAGGAAAUGACGACAAUACGUCAGUACUCAUUGUUUUUAUUGCAGGGGAGUUAGAUCUGAUAAACUGCUGCUGUUGUAGGUCCACAAAUAGGUCUCUUCUGCCUGCUUGUUGUCUCCUGUUUCAGCACAAGGUCACAGAACCUGACUCUCCUCUGCUUGUGUCCGGUCCCUCAAGGGGAACCGGUCUAUUUUUGUCUUCCUUCUGUAAAGGUUUAACUGCACUGAACAUUUCACUUGCAGUGCAAGAAGUGUACAACUGUUAAAAAAAUCCUGAAACACCGAGUGCAGCAGAGAGACGCAGACAGGACAAGCUGCGCCAGUACUGCAAUCUGGAACGCCUGAGUGAAGAGGAAUGGAGAUGUGACAGGAGCAGGGGAUUCUGGGUAGGUCACAGAUGGGCAGUCGCGCGUGUGACAGGAAAAAGCCCACCCACCCCAGGAGCACUUAAAGCUGAACUGCUGAUUGAAGAAGCGACAUUUCUUAUUUUACCUCGACCAGUGGCAGAUUAAGUCUCCCAAUGGAAAAGUACUUACUGAUUUGCAUUGUUUCGCUUUUCACACCAGGUAGUCUUUACAUAGAUGUAGAUGUACGUAGAUGCGCCUUCUGCUCAUUAGUGCUAUCAUGGCGGUUAUCGGUGUUUUGUUGCAGUACGAUCUCGAGCACCUGUCCUGAUGUUACAACACAAUGUUUUUCUUUUUCAGCUGCUGUACGCUGUGACUCCAUCUCUCCUCGGCAGCCAAAGGUCUCUGGGGAGGAAGAGGGAUCAGUGUCUCUUCAAUGUUCUUUCUCCACAAGCAGUGCUGGAUAUGCUCUGUACUGGUGACUUUAGCUCUGAUAAUCCCAGGAUUGUUUUCACAGAGGUCCAAACCCUCUCAGUGGCUCUUCUGUUUCACUGCGGAUGGCUCAUUAGAGGAUUCCUUCAUCCACCCACUUUCCACCCACUUUUUUCUGCUUCUUCCUACUCAGGGUCACGGAGGGGCUGGAUCCUAUCCCAGCGAGCAACGGGCACAAGGCAGGGUACACCCUUGACAAGGCAGAAACAAACACGCACACUCUCACACCAGGGCUGAGUUUCCCAGAAGCCAUUCGAUCUACCAGUAUGUCUUUGGACUGGGUGAGGAAACCAGAGUACCCAGAUGAAGGCAGAGCCUUGUGGACAAGGAGAGAGCAUGCAAACUCCACUCAGAUAGGACCACACAUCUGGAAUCAAACCUAGAGCUCCAACUCUGUGAGGCAGAAAUGCUCAGAACUAUGUCAACGUGACGCCCAAGUCUUAAUCCUUGUUCACUCAAAUAUAACACAGGGAACAGCAGGUGACCCCUAUCUGGCAUAAAAGAUCUAGCAUGGUCUCUCUCUGGAAUAAAGAACAAACCAAAUCUUGAAAAUAACUGUUUCAAAGGUCAUGAAAUACUGAAUGAGUCUUUUCAGCUCAAAGGCCUAAGAAUGCGAGGCUGCAUCUCUACUGAAGAAACUUAUCUGUUCACACUCUAUGAACAUCAUUCCAGCCUGGACUCAGACCAUUUCACAGCACAGAGACAGCCUGCACAUGUGCUCAAUGUUUCAGAACAAACAGCAGCUAAAGCUUCUGCUCUUUCUUGAUUUUGACAAGUCUAGUCAACAGCUUUUCCGCAAGCAGAAUUAAGAUUAUAGAAAACAACUCAUCCCUGUGAAAAAGCUUGUUCCCCAUUUCAAGAGGCAUGAGGAAUAAAAAUGCAAGACCUUGAGGCUACUGCUGUACCAUGGGCCUGUGACAUUACAGGACAUGAUAGUGACUGAACUGAGGUGUAAGAGAAGGGGGUGGUGUAGGACUCUAUAUCAAAUAUAACCUGCUAACUAGACAACUGAAGACAGAAGGGAAAGACUGAGGUCAAUGUGUUUAGCUGUGAAAUGAAAAUGGGUUAAGAUGGUUAUUGUCCACUUUCUGACCUAGUUUGUAAAGGUACAAUAUAGUGAAGAUCAUUUUUGCUAACUUAAUCUUUUCAAGCAACCAGGAAAUUCUCCAGGAAUAACAGCAGGCAGAGACACUGGGAAACUGUAACCAUAAUAUGCAAUCACGUGGAGUAU
rnacentral:lncRNA from 1 species